rnacentral:rRNA from 1 species
UUCCGGUUGAUCCUGCCGGACCUGACUGCUAUCGGAUUGAUACUAAGCCAUGCGAGUCUUUGUAGUAAUACAAGGCAUACGGCUCAGUAACGCGUAGUCAACCUACCCUAUGGACAAGAAUAAUCUCGGGAAACUGAGCAUAAUUCUUGAUAGAUCAUAAUGCCUGGAAUGGUAUAUGGUUAAAAUGAUUCGUCGCCAUAGGAUGGGACUGCGGCCUAUCAGCUUGUUGGUGAGGUAAUGGCCCACCAAGGCGAUUACAGGUACGGGCUCUGAGAGGAGAAGCCCGGAGAUGGGUACUGAGACAAGGACCCAGGCCCUAUGGGGCGCAGCAGGCGAGAAAACUUUGCAAUGUGCGAAAGCACGACAAGGUUAGUCCGAGUGAUUUCUGCUAAAGAGAUCUUUUGCUAGUUAUAAAACCACUAGUGAAUAAGGGGUGGGCAAGUUCUGGUGUCAGCCGCCGCGGUAAAACCAGCACCUCAAGUGGUCAGGAUGAUUAUUGGGCCUAAAGCAUCCGUAGCCGGCUCUGUAAGUUUUCGGUUAAAUCUAUACGCUCAACGUAUGGGCUGCCGAAAAUACUGCAGAGAUAGGGAGUGGGAGAGGUAGACGGUACUCGGUAGGAAGGGGUAAAAUCCUUUGAUCUAUCGAUGACCACCUGUGGCGAAGGCGGUCUACCAGAACACGUUCGACGGUGAGGGAUGAAAGCUGGGGGAGCAAACCGGAUUAGAUACCCGGGUAGUCCCAGCCGUAAACGAUGCAGACUCGAUGAUGCAUUGGCAUAUAGCCAGUGCAGUGUCGCAGGGAAGCCGUUAAGUCUGCCGCCUGGGAAGUACGUACGCAAGUAUGAAACUUAAAGGAAUUGGCGGGGGAGCACCACAAGGGGUGAAGCCUGCGGUUCAAUUGGAUUCAACGCCGG